rnacentral:rRNA from 1 species
AUGGUGAGCUGGCCAGACAUCUGCAAACCCAAGGACCAGGGUGGCCUUGGGAUCCUGUCAUCUCGCCGCAUGAACAUUGCCCUCCUGACCCGCUAGCUGUGGCGUAUUGCCAAUGGGGAGGGAGGCCUAUGGCUCACCAUCAUCCGUAAUAAAUACCUGAGGGGCGAACCUCUGGCCUUUUGCCAGCGUACGGGUGGCUCCCAGUUCUGGCAGUCCGUGGUCCAGCUUCCGCCCGUCCUUCGCCUCGGUACGUCCAUCUCUAUUGGAUCUGGGGCCUCGACGCUGUUCUGGUUCGACCGAUGGCUUGGGCACUCCCCCUUGGCUGUGCGGUUCCCAAAACUUUUUGCCAUUGCGGCUGACCCUCGGGUCUCUGUCGAGAAGGCCCUUAUUGACUUAGGGCGUCUUGCUUUCCGUCGCCCCUUCGGCCCUCUCGAGGUGGCUGCUUGGGACUUCCUCCUCCAAGUCGUGGCUCUGAUGCCGAUGAACAUUCAGGAGGACUAG